CUUGUUGAGGCAGAGAACUGACUUGAGCGUCGGAGGAUCUUGCUGGAGCAACCCCAACUCUGGUUUAGACUUCUCUUGCAGGUCCCGGCGGCGACCACAACUCCCUGGACUCCAACUUCUCCGAUGCAAGUAGAUUUUUGCACCAACAGGAUUGGCGCUAGAGGAAGGGCCGUGUCUUCGUAGUACCCUUGUUCUUAAAGGAGCGCUCAACGGGACCGCCUCCGGUCAUCUUUUCUGAUGCCCUCUCGUCCUUCCCCCACU
rnacentral:lncRNA from 1 species